rnacentral:misc_RNA from 1 species
GCUGAACAAGACAAGAAAAGUGCUAUUAUCAGAGCAGAGGGGGAGGCUACGAGUGCCCAGCUCAUAGGCCAGGCUAUUGCCAACAAUCCUGCAUUUAUCACACUUAGGAAGAUAGAAGCUUCAAGAGAAAUUGCUCAGACAAUCUCAAAUUCUGCCAACAAGGUUUUCCUUAAUUCAGAGGAUUUGCUACUGAACCUUCAAAAGAUGGAGUUGGCGGUUCAUGGGAAGAAGUAGGCAUCUCUUGGUUUUGGAGUCCAGCUCAUGGUAAUUACAGUCGAGUAUUUUUGGAUCAAUUUCACUUUAUGUGCAUCUCCUCGUCGAGCGAUCUUAAAGGCGGAUUCUUUCACAUUGGCUUGGUGUAUUCUGGAUUUUUAAUAAUUUUGAAAUACUUCUCAAUGCAGUUGAAUUCUAAUUGAUACUUUGUUGGGUAUGAAAACCGUAAUCAAAUCAAACCAAGUUAAACCUCCAAAAAUACUCGAC